CUCUCUAUAGCUCAGUUGGUAGAGCGUCGGACUGUAAUUGGUUAUCCAAAUCCUCCCACUCGAUAGAGUGAGAAAUCCGCAGGUCCUGUGUUCGACUCACAGUGGAGAGA
rfam:Trichosporon asahii var. asahii CBS 8904 unplaced genomic scaffold scaffold00190, whole genome shotgun sequence.